UACGAAGGGGGCUAGCGUUGUUCGGAUUUACUGGGCGUAAAGCGCGUGUAGGCGGUUCGUAAAGUCGGGUGUGAAAGCCCUGGGCUUAACCCAGGAAGUGCACUCGAAACUCACGAACUUGAGUCCCGGAGAGGAAGGCGGAAUUCUCGGUGUAGAGGUGAAAUUCGUAGAUAUCGAGAGGAACAUCGGUGGCGAAGGCGGCCUUCUGGACGGUGACUGACGCUGAGACGCGAAAGCGUGGGGAGCAAACAGG
rnacentral:rRNA from 1 species